GGAUCAGUGGCGGACGGGUGAGUAACACGUGAGCAACCUGCCUUUAAGAGGGGGAUAACGUUUGGAAACGAACGCUAAUACCGCAUAACAUAGAAGAUUCGCAUGUUUCUUCUAUCAAAGAUUUAUCGCUUAAAGAUGGGCUCGCGUCUGAUUAGCUGGUUGGUGAGGUAACGGCUCACCAAGGCGACGAUCAGUAGCCGUACUGAGAGGUAGAACGGCCACAUUGGGACUGAGACACGGCCCAGACUCC
rnacentral:rRNA from 1 species